GGAUGCGAUCAUACCAGCACUAAAGCACCAGAUCCCAUCAGAACUCCGAAGUUAAGCAUGCUUGGGCGAGAGUAGUACUAGGAUGGGUGACCUCCUGGGAAGUCCUCGUGUUGCAUUCC
rnacentral:rRNA from 1 species